UAACAUUGUGUUGAUUUCUCACCUAUUAUAUGUGCGAUUUUUAGUGAAUUAUAAUAUGGAAAAAUCGAUAACAACUAAGUCAAACGUCACCACUUACAUACGUCAAAGACAAACUUUAAAUACACCAACAAAAUUUAACUUUUUGUGCAAAAAGUAUUUUAACGCAAAUUUAUAAAAUAUCAUAUUUCUUGACGAACCUCACUUGUGGGGUCAACGGAAUUAUUAAUUUACUUUUGUGAUGAUUUACAAUAUCUUCUAUCUUCAAGCCAAAGGACUAACAGAAAUCAAGGAAGAAUCUCAUCUCGUCAAUCUAAUGUUUAUAAUAAACGGUGCUCUACUGCUGUUCUAAGAUAUGUUGAAAUGAUUCCCAAUUUUCCGUAAUAGCGAAUGUAAACUUAAAUAACAUACAAUACAACAAAUGAGAUCAUUUAUUAUCUGUUCCCUCAAAA